GUGCUCCCUUCGGCAGCAUAUAUACUAAAAUUGUAAUGAUGCAGAGGUGAUUGGCACGGCCUCUGUGCAAGGAUGACAUGCAAAUUUGUGAAGAAUUCCAUAUUUUA